rnacentral:rRNA from 1 species
GAGCGGAUGAAGGGAGCUUGCUCCCGGAUUUAGCGGCGGACGGGUGAGUAAUGCCUAGGAAUCUGCCUGGUAGUGGGGGACAACGACUCGAAAGGGUCGCUAAUACCGCAUACGUCCUACGGGAGAAAGUGGGGGAUCUUCGGACCUCACGCUAUCAGAUGAGCCUAGGUCGGAUUAGCUAGUAGGUGAGGUAAUGGCUCACCUAGGCAACGAUCCGUAACUGGUCUGAGAGGAUGAUCAGUCACACUGGAACUGAGACACGGUCCAGACUCCUACGGGAGGCAGCAGUGGGGAAUAUUGGACAAUGGGCGAAAGCCUGAUCCAGCCAUGCCGCGUGUGUGAAGAAGGUCUUCGGAUUGUAAAGCACUUUAAGUUGGGAGGAAGGGUUGUAGUCUAAUACGCUGCAAUCUUGACGUUACCAACAGAAUAAGCACCGGCUAACUCUGUGCCAGCAGCCGCGGUAAUACAGAGGGUGCAAGCGUUAAUCGGAAUUACUGGGCGUAAAGCGCGCGUAGGCGGCUUGAUAAGAUGGGUGUGAAAUCCCCGGGCUUAACCUGGGAAUUGCAUCCAUAACUGUCUGGCUAGAGUACAGUAGAGGGUGGUGGAAUUUCCUGUGUAGCGGUGAAAUGCGUAGAUAUAGGAAGGAACACCAGUGGCGAAGGCGACCACCU